GAUCUCCGAGCGAGGCGGCAAGAUGGACGCGGGAUUUUUCCGCGGAACAAGUGCAGAACAGGAUAAUCGGUUCAGCAACAAACAGAAGAAACUACUGAAGCAGCUGAAAUUUGCAGAAUGCCUAGAAAAAAAGGUGGACAUGAGCAAAGUAAAUUUGGAGGUUAUAAAGCCUUGGAUAACAAAAAGAGUAACGGAAAUCCUUGGGUUUGAAGAUGAUGUUGUGAUUGAGUUUAUAUUCAACCAGCUGGAAGUGAAGGCCUGAACCAAAAUGGAAGUUAUUCCUUGCGUCUGAAGUAUAGCACCAUCACCUUAUUAGGUCACAGCAGAGUGAGUGUCCCAAUGUCGCUCUGACCCAACUCCCUUGAUGAUGCAGUGUGUGUUUGGAGAAUCCAGACUCCAAAAUGAUGCAAAUCAACCUGACUGGAUUUUUGAAUGGAAAAAAUGCUCGAGAAUUUAUGGGAGAACUGUGGCCCCUGCUGCUAAGUGCACAAGAAAACAUCGCGGGAAUCCCUUCUGCUUUCCUAGAACUGAAGAAAGAAGAAAUAAAACAAAGACAGAUUGAACAAGAAAAACUGGCAUCUAUGAAAAAGCAAGAUGAAGACAAAGAUAAAAGAGAUAAGGAAGAAAAAGAAAGCAGCAGAGAAAAAAGGGAGCGGUCUCGUAGCCCAAGAAG
rnacentral:sRNA from 1 species